AUGAAGCCAUCUCUUAUCUUCACAGCUUUUUCUACUUACUGCUUCCUUGUGAUAGAUGGGUUUCCAGGCAUAGAUUGCAUUCCAAACAUUAUUGGAUCUG